GGAAAAGUGCCGGAGUGGUCGAUCGGGACGGUCUCGAAAACCGUUGUACCUUUACGGGUACCCAGGGUUCGAAUCCCUGCUUUUCCGCCA
rnacentral:tRNA from 2 species